GUCCUUGUCGAUUAGUGGUUAGAUCAUCACGUUGUGGAUUCCCGGUCACGAGACCGUGGGAAAGCAGGUGCCGUGAAGACGGAGGCUCGAAUCCUCCCUGGGACA